AAAAUGAUCAGCAUUGAAUCAUAAAAGCAAAGCUCAGAAGAUAAAAUAUCGAUACCAUGAUUCAUGUAUUGGAGUUGGGAUCAUAAGAACUUUUCUAAUAAGGUAAUCAAUAUGUGAUAAAACUUGAAAUUUAAACUUAAAUUUAUAAAUAAUGAGGGAACCAAUAAUACUUGAUUUGUUCAAAUACUUAACAUAUUAGACCAACUUUAAUCAAUAAUCAACUAACCCC
rnacentral:lncRNA from 1 species